UUGAUCAUCCGAACCCUAACCCUAGCCGCUCUAGCCUUCCCCCUGCCGCACCCCUCUCCCCACAGCAGCCGCAGCCCUCCUUGGCUGGUAGCCGACCACCCCACACGCCGGAGCACCAGUUAGAGAGAGAGAGACCGCACUCUCCCUCCCUCUCGUGCGAUCCUUGGUCUGAGCCAUCCUCUUCCUUCUCCUCUCUGUCGGUUCAAGGCUUGGAGGCGUGGAGGACUUCCUUCGGCCAUCUUGCCUCCACCCCGUCGCAGCUGUCAACCUCCCUCGGCCAUUCGUGCCUGCGUACGCAGGACUCGGGCUGAUCUUGCCCGAGUUGGGCUGCUGCCUUUCUCACGCGAUCUUGACUGAGUUUGGACACCAUCAACGCCUCCCGUGUGACUUCCCCAACCUAUCGCAACAUCCCUGGACCUUUCGUCACAUUUGUGGACAGCCGGCGAACCGUUGAUGCAAAGUGCAGCCCAGCAGUCCCGUUUUACGCUUCGCCUUGAGCUGAUCUGCGUUCUCUGGCAAGUCUGGACCUUGUGGAGCAUGGCUAAGAUCGCAACGAUUCGUCGCACGCAGGCUGCGUCAAGGCAUUGUUCGCGGAUUCGCUGUGCAGCGAGCGCGACUUCCAUUCGGGACUGGUGUCGGAGGAGUCCAGCACCUUAGAAUCGUGUGGAUCUCAUCUUCGCUGAGUUUCUGAAGUCUCUGGAGCAGCGGUAAGGCCCUGAACUAGUAGUUGUCGAAGACUAUCGCACGUUUGAGAUCGUAGUCAUGUGUUUGUGUUCGGAUUUGCGUCACAGCGAUGCUUUCGCAUCGUAGCUGCUAUGGGCAGCAUACAUACUGAAAUAUUUGUGUCCUCAUUCAUUGUCCGAUGCCCAUGAACCUCGUGGUUCGAUUAACAGGGCAAUUGGCGCUUAUAUCGCCAUUGUUUGUGCCGUAGGAGCCUCGUUUUUGGCUCCAGGUGUGGGAUUCGUGUUGCUUCUGGUCGCAGUGAGCGUAACACUUCGUCUUCUAUUGUUAUCGAGCCCUCAAGGCUCAGGAAUCGAUGCUUUGCAAUUCGGGGGCUUCCGGAGCCAAAAGGGCAACAAUCGGGACCCCGGUCACGACAUAAGCCGCAUAGAAUCAAUCGCUCUUGCACGAAAUGAUGUGCUGCUGUUUCGACGCCCAAAGCUGAGUGUUUCGGGACAGCAAAUAAUCUAGGAUUAGAUCUGGAAUGUUUCAGCAUGUUUCGGGGCUCAACGGAGCUCGAUAACGCGAAUUUCGGGCGGUUUCUGGUGCGACCUCGCGUUGUAUUUGCUGCUGCUGUUCACAGCAGGAUUGUGGCUGAUUUACGAAGUGCCAGGGGAAGGUUAGACACCCUGGAUUACAGCAAAAAAGCCAUGGAGGGUUCCGGGACCAAAUACGACACCUCGGAAGCCAAACGGUUAGUUUUCGAAACCUCGACUUUCCCCUUUUUAGCACACUUAUUGUGCGGCUGUCCCAAGGCAUUAAAGUGAUGCUUUGGGACAGCGAGGAGUGUACGACAGCUGUGGGAUAUACUUCGGAUCACCUCGUGGGUUGGUGCGACAUUCCGUCGAAUCGGCGCGGCAUUUGGAUGAUUCUUCGGUGACGGUCGGUCGGAAACUUGGAAAGUCCGUUUGGCCAACAGUUAGAAUCACGUCGAGUCUAAGGCGUUAAGUAGUUUACGUGUUUAGGCUAAUUACGGUUUCAUUGCGACUAUGCAUAGGUUCGGGUGAUAGCGGAAGGCAGCGGCAAGCAGUCGACAACCCGUGUACUUCGUACGGUAUAGGUCGGUACUUCGAUCCGAAGUCGGUAAAGUGGUGCCUGCUCGGUGAUCUCUAUCCUUGUCAUCUUCUUUCGUUAUUUGAUACUGAUUGAGCAUUUUUACAUCACUUGACUUCGUAGUUAGUCACUCUAUGGUCAUGAUCUAAUAGUAGAGUGACAUUCCUGAUGAUUGAGUCAUCCAUGACAUGUUUUAAUAGAUAACCUUGAUAUUGGUGACUUUAUAGUUGGUGACACUUGUAUUCAUACAGGACAUGAUUUGACAUUAGUUGACUUCAUAGUCGGUGAUACUCGUAUCCCUACAUGACAUGAUUUGACAUUAGUUAACUUCAUAGUCAGUGACAUUCGUGUUCAUACCUAAUAUGCUUUGGCAUUAGUUGACUAUAAAUUGUACGGCACUGAAGGAGUCUUAGACAGGAUUACUAACUCGGGUACUUCAGUUGCCAACCCAGUGAGAGGUGAGGUGUCAUAGACAGGGUUCGCCACCCUGAGUUCUCACCCCCAGACUUGAUAUACGCCGCGCUUAGACAGAGUUAGCGACUUUGGAUACGGGUUGAUAUGUCCCUCCGGAGUAGUACUUGAUUUGCGGUCCUUCAGACCUAUGGGCGAGCUUAGGCCAAGUAUUCAUGACAGGCCACAGAGAUUGGGUAUAUCUUGGACUUCUCGUAUGUCCAGUUGAUACAUACUUGCACUUUAUUCUGUAUUACAGCAGCGGCUAGUUAUAUUCCUCUGUACUAUUGUUUACCCCUGCAUCAUUGCUACUAUAGUUAUGAUAUCCAUGUAUGCAUUAUGUUCUACUUUACAGUAGCGGUAGUUACAUGUUCUAUUACUGUUUCCUUUCCUUCUGGUAUUGUAGCUAUUGUAUUUGUGAUAUCUACUUAUGACUUUGAUGAUCUUUUUCUGUUGGUGAGUACUUCUCGCAUAUGUCGGCUUGCAGUACCCACUGGUAGGGGAGACAUGUGUACAUGUUCUCACCCCCCACCCCCUUUCAGGUGACGUUGCGGGUCCGAGUCAGGACGGUACAUGAGGCACGUGGUUAGUGGUCGUAGAGUGCUCCGACCCGGUGGAUUCGGUUUAACUCCUAACUUUGAUUUCUUAAAUUAAAUGACUUAGAUAUUAUGGUUCAGUUGGUUCUAGUUUAUUUGAAUUCAUGUGGUUUUGGUGAAAUUAAUAAAGUACUUAUGGUUUUCCUAUGAGAUGAAAA